UAGGGAAUCUUCCGCAAUGGACGCAAGUCUGACGGAGCAACGCCGCGUGAGUGAAGAAGGAUUUCGGUUCGUAAAACUCUGUUGUUAGAGAAGAACAGCGCAUAGAGUAACUGUUAUGCGUGUGACGGUAUCUAACCAGAAAGCCACGGCUAACUACGUGCCAGCAGCCGCGGUAAUACGUAGGUGGCAAGCGUUGUCCGGAUUUAUUGGGCGUAAAGCGAGCGCAGGCGGUCAAUUAAGUCUGAUGUGAAAGCCCCCGGCUCAACCGGGGAGGGUCAUUUGAAACUGGUUGACUUGAGUGCAGAAGAGGAGAGUGGAAUUCCAUGUGUAGCGGUGAAAUGCGUAGAUAUAUGGAGGAACACCAGUGGCGAAGGCGACUCUCUGGUCUGUAACUGACGCUGAGGCUCGAAAGCGUGGGUAGCAAACAGG
rnacentral:rRNA from 1 species